AUCCCUGAAAGAUGAUCAGGUUGAUAGGUCAGAGGUGGAAGCGCGGCGACGUGUGGAGCUGACUGAUACUAAUAGAUCGAGGACUUAACCA
rnacentral:rRNA from 1 species